rnacentral:rRNA from 1 species
AACGAACGCUGGCGGCAUGCCUAACACAUGCAAGUCGAACGAGAUCUUCGGGUCUAGUGGCGCACGGGUGCGUAACGCGUGGGAAUCUGCCCUUUGGUUCGGAAUAACAGUUGGAAACGACUGCUAAUACCGGAUGAUGACGAAAGUCCAAAGAUUUAUCGCCAGAGGAUGAGCCCGCGUAGGAUUAGCUAGUUUGUGUGGUAAAGGCGCACCAAGGCGACGAUCCUUAGCUGGUCUGAGAGGAUGAUCUGCCACACUGGGACUGAGACACGGCCCAGACUCCUACGGGAGGCAGCAGUGGGGAAUAUUGGACAAUGGGCGAAAGCCUGAUCCAGCAAUGCCGCGUGAGUGAUGAAGGCCUUAGGGUUGUAAAGCUCUUUUACCCGGGAUGAUAAUGACAGUACCGGGAGAAUAAGCUCCGGCUAACUCCGUGCCAGCCGCCGCAGUAA